UCCCAGGUGGCUCAGUGGUAAAGAAGCUGCCUGUAAUGCAGGAGACUCAGGUUCGAUCCCUGGGUCGGGAA
rfam:TPA: Bos taurus chromosome 26, whole genome shotgun sequence.